CCUACGGGGGGCAGCAGUGAGGAAUAUUGGUCAAUGGACGAGAGUCUGAACCAGCCAAGUCGCGUGAAGGAUGACUGCCCUAUGGGUUGUAAACUUCUUUUAUAUGGGAAUAAAACAGGGUAUGCAUACCCUCUUUUAUGUACCAUAUGAAUAAGGAUCGGCGAACUCCGUGCCAGCAGCCGCGGUAAUACGGAGGAUCCGAGCGUUAUCCGGAUUUAUUGGGUUUAGAGGGAGCAUAGGUGGAUUGUUAAGUCAGUUGUGAAAGUUUGCGGCUCAACGGUAAUAUUGCAGUUGAAACUGGCAGUCUUGAGUACAGUAGAGGUGGGCGGAAUUCGUGGUGUAGCGGUGAAAUGCUUAGAUAUCACGAAGAACUCCGAUUGCGAAGACAGCUCACUGGACUGCAACUGACACUGAUGCUCGAAAGUGUGGGUAUCAAACAGGAUUAGAGACCCCAGUAGUC
rnacentral:rRNA from 1 species